GCCGGGCAUGGUUGCGCAUGCCUGUAAUCCCAGCUACUCUGAAGGCUGAGGCAGGAGAAUCACUUGAGCCCAGGAGGCAGAGGCUGCAGUAAGCCGAGAUCACGCCACUGCACUCCAGCCUGGACGACAGAGUGAGACCCUGUCUCAA
rfam:Gorilla gorilla gorilla genomic chromosome, chr20, whole genome shotgun sequence